CUCAUCAUCUUUGACUAGUGCCAAAUAGGUAGGAGAAAGCCCUUUAUCAAUUAGUCCUCAUGUGUGUAUGCCAUUGUUUUCUGUAAGAAGUCUUUCACCAUCACUUAAGAUCUUUAACCAAAUCCAUUUAUUAAAAUGCUUGAUUUAAUUAGAUAUUGACAGAAACAACAUAAACUAUUAAAUAGGGUAUCUAGAAAGCCUGGAGGAAGAGAAAGCACAUGAGCUUGGUUUGAUCACCAAGGAGAAUUUCUGUGAGUGACACUGUGGAGACAUUGGAAAUGAUGAUGAAAGACAGGAAUAUGCUUGACACAUAUAGAGAAGCCUGUGUUGCUGGAGUUUAUAAUAUUAUUGUUAUC
rnacentral:lncRNA from 1 species